GACGAACGCUGGCGGCGUGCUUAACACAUGCAAGUCGAACGAAGUGGCGAACGGGUGAGUAAUACGUGGGUAACCUGCCCUCCUUUUUGGGAUAAGCCUUGGAAACAGGUGCUAAUACCGCAUACUGAUGGAUGGACCCGCGGUGCAUUAGCUAGUUGGUGGGGUAACGGCUCACCAAGGCCACGAUGCAUAGCCGGCCGGAGAGGGGGAGCGGCCACAUUGGGACGGGGAUACGGCCCAGAGUCCUACGGGAGGCAGCAGUGGGGGAUAUUGCACAAUGGGCGAAAGCCUGAUGCAGCGACGCCGCGUGGGGGAUGAAGGCUUUCGGGUUGUAAACCUCUUUCGCUAUCGAACGGGUAGGUGGAGAAGAAGCGCCGGCUAACUACGUGCCAGCAGCCGCGGUAAUUC
rnacentral:rRNA from 1 species